AUGGCCGGUGAAGAUGGCUCGCCCAUGGCACAAGGGGAUGCCCAGCAGCGCCGAGCUGCAUCUCCAACGGGGUUGCAUCUGGGUAGUGCACCACCGAACUACGCGCCAUGCCCAUCCAGGAUGAGUGCUCUGGAGCUGGCAAUCCGCAAAUAUGCAGAGAAACCUGACAAGAGUGUGAUGCGGCACGAACUAGGGCUCAACUUCGACUCGUUGGGCGAGGCAUACAAUUUCUAA
rnacentral:rRNA from 1 species